rnacentral:rRNA from 1 species
GACGGAGGGGGCAAGCGUUGUCCGGACUCACUGGGCGUAAAGGGCGCGUAGGCGGCCUGAUAAGUAGGGGGUGAAAUCCUGCGGCUCAACCGCAGGGCUGCCUUCUAAACUGUCAGGCUGGAGCACGGUAGAGGCAGAUGGAAUUCCCGGUGUAGCGGUGGAAUGCGUAGAGAUCGGGAAGAACACCAGUGGCGAAGGCGGUCUGCUGGGCCGUUGCUGACGCUGAGGCGCGACAGCGUGGGGAGCAAACAGG